AUAACAAAUUUUAACAAAUAACAAUUGUGUGACAAAAUUGAAAUAAGCACUUCUUAACAAAUAACACUUAUUAACUAAAUAAAAAUAUAUUGAAAUCGAUUCCUCUGUUGUGAGCAGGAUAUUGUGUGCUUUGUUAUAAAUAGGAAAAUUGAUUCCUAUGUUGUAAGCAGGAUAUUGUGUGCUUUGUUAUAAAUAGGAAAAUUGAUUUCUUUGUUAUAUGUAGAACACCCAAAUCCUCUUUUGAAGGUAGGACAAUCGAUUAAUCUGUCUGAGUUAGGACAAUCGAUUUAUUUGUCGUAGGUAGAACAUUCGAUUAAUCUGUCUGAGUUAGGACAAUCGAUUUAUUUGUCGUCGGUAGAACAUUCGAUUAAUCUGUCUGAGUUAGGACAAUCGAUUUAUUUGUCGUAGGUAGAACAUUCGAUUAAUCUGUCUGAGUUAGGACAAUCGAUUUAUUUGUCGUAGGUAGGACAAUCGAUUUAUCUGUCGUAGGUAGGACACUCCAUUCCUCUGUCGUAGGUAGGACAAUCGAUCCCUCUGUUGUAGGUAGGACAAGC